UCCCGGGCCUUUGGGUUUGGGAAUCAAAGCUGGGGACCAUAAGGCCUAGCGCUCGAGGAGGAGCCCGCGUCCGAUUAGCUUGUUGGUGGGGUAAUGGCUCACCAAGGCUCCGAUCGGUAGCCGGCCUGAGAGGGCGGACGGCCACACUGGGACUGAGACACGGCCCAGACUCCUACGGGAGGCAGCAGUGGGGAAUUUUGCGCAAUGGGGGAAACCCUGACGCAGCAACGCCGCGUGGAGGAUGAAGGCCUUCGGGUCGUAAGCUCCUGUCAAUCGGGACGAAAGUGCUCCGGCCUAACAGGUCGGGACGUUGACUGUACCGGUGGAGGAAGCUCCGGCUAACUCUGUGCCAGCAGCCGCGGUAAUACAGAGGGAGCAAGCGUUGUUCGGAAUUACUGGGCGUAAAGGGCGCGUAGGCGGCUUGGUCAGUCUCGUGUGAAAUCCCUCGGCUCAACUGAGGAAUUGCACGGGAAACUGCCAUGCUUGAGUUCGGGAGAGGGAAGCGGAAUUCCGGGUGUAGCGGUGAAAUGCGCAGAUAUCCGGAGGAACACCAGUGGCGAAGGCGGCUUCCUGGACCGUGACUGACGCUGAGGCGCGAAAGCUAGGGGAGCAAACGGGAUUAGAUACCCCGGUAGUCCUAGCUGUAAACGUUGAGUGCUGGGUGUAGGGGGUAUUGACCCCCCCUGUGCCGAAGCUAACGCAUUAAGCACUCCGCCUGGGGAGUACGGUCGCAAGGCUGAAACUCUAAGGAAUUGACGGGGGCCCGCACAAGCGGUGGAGCAUGUGGUUCAAUUCGACGCAACGCGAAGAACCUUACCGGGGUUUGAACUGUACGGGACAGCUGCAGAGAGGCAGUUUUCCUUCGGGACCCGUAUAGAGGUGCUGCAUGGCUGUCGUCAGCUCGUGUCGUGAGAUGUUGGGUUAAGUCCCGCAACGAGCGCAACCCUUGCCUCCUGUUGCCAGCAGGUAAAGCUGGGCACUCUGGAGAGACUGCCGGUGAUAAACCGGAGGAAGGUGGGGAUGACGUCAAGUCCUCAUGGCCUUUAUGCCCCGGGCUACACACGUGCUACAAUGGCUGGAACAAAGGGUUGCAAAACCGCGAGGUGGAGCUAAUCCCAAAAAACCAGUCUCAGUUCGGAUUGGAGUCUGCAACUCGACUCCAUGAAGCUGGAAUCGCUAGUAAUCGCGGAUCAGCAUGCCGCACGUUCCC
rnacentral:rRNA from 1 species